CCUACGGGAGGCAGCAGUGGGGAAUCUUGCGCAAUGGGCGAAAGCCUGACGCAGCAACGCCGCGUGCGGGAAGAAGGCUUUCGGGCUGUAAACCGCUUUCAGCAGGAACGAAAAUGACGGUACCUGCAGAAGAAGGAGCGGCCAACUAUGUGCCAGCAGCCGCGGUGAUACAUAGGCUUCAAGCGUUGUCCGGAUUUAUUGGGCGUAAAGAGUUCGUAGGCGGUCAAGUAAGUCGGGUGUGAAAAUUCUGGGCUCAACCCAGAGACGCCACCCGAUACUGCUUAACUUGAGUUCGAUAGGGGAGUGGGGAAUUCCUAGUGUAGCGGUGAAAUGCGCAGAUAUUAGGAGGAACACCGGUGGCGAAGGCGCCACUCUGGAUCGAUACUGACGCUGAGGAACGAAAGCAUGGGUAGCAAACAGGAUUAGAUACCCUGGUAGUCCAUGCCGUAAACGGUGGGCACUAGGUGUGGGUUUCUAUUAACGAAAUCCGCGCCGUCGCUAACGCAUUAAGUGCCCCGCCUGGGGGNGGUACGGUCGCGAGACGUAAACGUUAAAGUAAGUUAGACGGUCGUGAGACGUUGUCCGAACGGACGACGACGAGGGGAGGUAGGG
rnacentral:rRNA from 1 species